CAUCGCUGUGGCAGAGCUGGCCCGCCCACUUUCCUUCAGCCCCCUUGUCCUGCCCAUCUGUCUCCCGACAUCAGCAGUCCAGCUGAAGAACGCCACCUCCUGCUGGGUGACUGGAUGGGACAAUUCUGGGAUAGUCCAAUCCAUGACACCACCUUACACACUGAAGGAGCUAAAAGUGCAACGCAUCGAUCUCCAGACAUGCAAGAAAUAUCAGAAAGAAAGCUUGUUACGAGGAGUCGAGCCCAUCAGUGAAGCCAUGAUCUGUUCCCGGCUCCCAGUGGGGGAGCCAGAUAUGUGUAUAGCCAGGAGAGGAGAUCCCCUGAUGUGCAGAGUGAAGGACUUCUGGGUUCUAGCAGGAGUGAUGAGCUGGGGAUCAAACUGCAUCGGAAUCGACAAGCCUGGAGUAUUUACAAGCAUCAGUUUCUACAAGUCUUGGAUUGAGAAGUCAGCCAUCUCACAUGCUGACCUUUCUGCUACCCCCAGGUCAGACUUCUCCAGGUUCUUCCCGGUAAUGCUUCUGCCUCUCAUAUUCCUGGGGCCACCCUAACU